rnacentral:rRNA from 1 species
AAUAAAGAGAGUUUGAUCCUGGCUCAGGGUGAACGCUGGCGGCGCGCUUAAUGCAUGCA